rnacentral:rRNA from 1 species
UCUCUUUCCUCGUCUCCCGCUCCACCGCCGCCGCCCCAUCUCCCGCUCCACCGCCGCCGCCCCAUCUCCCGUCUCCAGUCGCAGCCGCCGCCGCACCCCAAUCCAACCCCGCCGCCGACGAUCUCCUCGCCCCCCCUGCGCCGCCGCCCCCAACCUUCUAUUCCUCUCCCAAGGGAAUCCCAUGGGAAGGGAAGGGAAGGCAAGGGAAGGGAAGGAAGGAAGAGGGAGCGCCCAGAUCCACGGCGGCAUCAGCGCGCCGUCGUCGACCUGAUCCGCGUCCGUCCUCGAGGGAGGUCUGCCAUGGAGGUCCGACCCGGCCCGGCAGCAGCCAUGGACGGACGGAGACGCCCCAAACCCUACCCUCAAGGACGACGCCUCAACCUUCAAGGACGCGCGCCGGCGACCGCGGAUCUCCGGUGAUGGCUAUGGAUGACUGCCCCUCUGGACGAACGACCUGCAGAUGCAGCAACGCACGAGUCCUCCCUCCCUCCCUCAUGGCUCUGCUUCCUCCUACCCUGCCCCCCUCACGUGGGCGUGGUCCCACAAAUAGAAGCGUUGCUCAUAUGCUCCUGAAUCAAGUUUGCAGUAUGAUGGAGUUUACAGAAUUGAGAAUUGUUACAUAAAGAUUGGUGUUCAGAUCAGGCACUGUGGAGCACAGGGAAGGAGGACAAGGAUGAAGGAUUUAGUCUGUCUAAAUCAUGGGCAGAUCGGGCACUGUGGAGCACAGGGAAGGAGGACAAGGAUGAAGGAUGGGAUGUGUGUAGAAUUUGGCGCCAAGGGAGAUGAUCGAGAUGGUGGAGGAGACACCACUCAAGCCCAUCGAUCCAGUGAGUAAUGUGUGUUGUUCUUGGUGACUGAUUUCGUGAUGCAGGUGUUCUGGCCCAACUUCCUCUUUUCCUUCUUUGUGGUCUUUCUGUUAUGGUGACCGGAGGAUUGCUAACUUUGUGGUAUUUUGCUUCUAUGAAUGAUGCCCAUGAUUUGAUCUAUGAACUUAACGCGAUCUUGGAUCUGAUUAGGUUUUCCCUUGCAGAUUGCCGCACAUAAACCUGCUGAGCCGACAUCGACGCCAAGUGUGGCGAUGCCACUUCCGAUGAUCGGGAGGGUUCAUUCCAGCUCAUUGUGGUAAUCUGCAGAAAUCAAGUUAACAAAUCUUAAUUGAAGUAUAUGUUUCUAAAUUUUCGGUGGUGAUUUUUUUGUGACUAGACGAAAUCAAAACUGAAGUAUGUAUUCUGAAUUUUGCUCAUAUGACUAGAUGCAUAUGAACUGAAGCUCCGUCAUUCUUUCUAAGGUGAUAGUGGUCGCAACCAGUUAAGAUUAGGGGCUUUAAAGGAACUAUAAAAAAUAUGUGAACUGCUGGCAAUGUCGAUGUAAACACGGGCAUUUAACCAACAAAUUUUGAUUUAACUAUAACUAUCUGUUGACACAAGGCUAAAAAAGAGUAGAAUUGAUCUGUAAGCAAUUCUUCUUGAGAUAGAGACUUUCUGGGUAGUUUGCUACAAGUAUAUAACCUGGAACUUCAGUUCGAGAUAUACAACCGGCAAUCUGAGAUCACUAUGACAAUCUAGAUAGGUUAGCAAAAUCUCUUAGGCGGUGAGACUUAUGCAAGUAGCUAAGACUACAAAUAGAUGAGUGUUGGCCAUGAUUAGCAGCACCACAUCAGGAGGGCAUUCGUCCUAGAAGUGUGGUCAGGGCCGACUGGGGAUGAUUAUUUUUUCGUGGGCAAGGUAUGAUUGAACACAGGUGAGUGUCUUCUCAACUUGGUGUUGCUUCUAAUGUGUUGGACACUGAUCCAAUUUUGCGGCGAGCUGAGAUGCAUCUUUGAAAAUCUCUUGAGAGGUGUGAAUUAGUCCAAGCCUAUGCAGAAUGCCUACAUAUGCCACUUGAACUUUGGAGGGGUAGACUGAUGGAUCGUUGGGCUGGGAUGAAGUUACAUAUAGUGUGUUUUGUCAUGAGAAGAAAUGCAAACGAAAACACAAUUACAUUACAUUGUUAAUGUAUAUGGUAUGAAAAAAACGGAACUUGUUUUACUAAUUGGAGUGUAAUGUAAUCGACUACACUACAGAACUCAGCACGUGUUGAUUAACCAAAAAGAUAAGGAGAGGCCCCAUAUGCCCCCUGAAGGGCUGUCUCUGCUAUGCCGAUGGAGACCUUGAGGUCAAUGGCAUGUUGGUGGAGACAUGGCAAAGCUGACCGGCUUGUCAUCCCUGUCGUGGCUACAGGAUGGAUCCACCGAGUUUGUGAUUUUUAUGGAAAAAAACAUGAACGUAGCGAUUGCAUCAAUAGAAUAUUUUGGUCCUUUGGUUCCAAAUACCCAUAUUUAGUUGGACAACUGCAAAUUCAGACUAUACUGCUUAUGUGCAGUAUAACGCCCUGACUCCGAACUCUUGAUUUGCUGCCAAGUAACACCAAAUUGUCGCAUGUAUAAUGUUCCAAAAUUGUAGGUGUAGUACUACUUCAGCGAUGAGGAUCUUAUGAUGGGUGAGUGCAUGUUCAAAUUUGUGAACAGGAACAAGGAUGGCUUUGGUAAGUACUGCGCCAUUGUUUUAGGACAUACAUGUAAAAACAACACUCUGAAUCGUGGUGCUCACAAGUUCAGAUUCUUGGUUGUUGUGUAGGGAUGCUCCUGAUCUUAUUUGUUUUGGCAACAUAUCGUAAUCUUACCCAGUUGGAAUAAAGGGACGAGAUUGUUCUUUCAGCAUGACGAUCUACAAUUCAUCAUAUGAAAACCUUUGUACUUGGAUAUUGUUACAGGCUUGGUGGCAGGAAAGUAGAGCUUUAGAUCGAGGUCCAACACACAAAUCCCAACUUGUUUACUAUUGACACUAGCCAUCGGCCCUCUAAUCAUAUCUUAACAUGCUUGCUCUUCAUCUAUUAAAGAUAGAUUCUUGCUUCUUAUUCAUCUCUUUAAAUACCUUUUUUUUCUAAUUUGUAACUCUUCUUACCUAUUUUUGGCAGAGGUACAAUGGUUAUUGACUUGUAUUAUCUAUUUCUGACCCAACAAAUCUAAUAUGCAAGGAUAACAAUAAAAUCAGAAUGAUCAAAAGUCAAAACACAUGUGCAUGCUUCAUGAGUUAUGUAUACUUCUGAAUCUAUUUUUACCUCUACUAUCUGAUAUGUUGAAUAGUGCAUGCUCUGCUCUUGCAUGCCACAUCUGCCUGUACUAUGCUGUUAUUUAUGAUUUCGGGGGACUAAUGUCUUGAUUAUAGGAAGUGGAGAGGAAAACCCCUGAUCAGUAGGGAGUACAUGAUAACGUGGUCCAGCUCACCAUCGUAGGCUGCAGGCUGGUUUGGUAACAAGCGGAGACAAACUAAGGAAAAGGUGCCAACGAUGGAGGUGUGUGUGCGCCCACUUCGCCCAUUUGGGUACACGUGGAAGACCUUGCCACUAAGAGCUUCUUGCAGGGGCAAGAGGUGAACUGACGCUGAGUGUUGUGAUCCGUGGGGAGUAGUGUGAGGUGUCCAGUGAAGGGACAUGAUUCAGGCAAGUAACUGUUACUAUAGGAAAAGUCCCUUUAUACACUGAAGUCCCUUUAAAGUGAUGUGCAUAGCAAAGUAAAAUAGGAAAAGUUUAACCUUUGUUUUAGUUAGCCUUGGCGCAGUGGUAAAGCUGCUGCCUUGUGACCAUGAGGUCACGGGUUCAAGUCCUGGAAACAGCCUCUUACAGAAAUGUAGGGAAAGGCUGCGUACUAUAGACCCAAAGUGGUCGGACCCUUCCCCGACCCUGCGCAAGCGGGAGCUACAUGCACCGGGCUGCCCUUUUUCUCAGCUAUACUAUAUUUGGUUUUCCUUUAUGUUUUCUGAGGUCGCAAAAGCCUUUGUAGCGAUCAAAGAUGAGGAGCAACAAUCAUUGUUAUUGCACCAUGUGUAUUUUUCCUCACUUCUAAAUAAUAAAUUCAAUACGGUAUCAUCUUUCGUGGUAGGUGAGAACCACAUUAUCUGUAAAUUGGGCAAUUUCAUAGAUUUGCAAAGGUUUUAAAAUUGUGCCAAGUGAUGCAACACUAGAUGUUGGACUGCUGUAACAACAAGGAUGCUACAAGAGGUCUUUGUCAAAAAAAAGGAUGCUACAAGAGGUGCUUAAGGAGGCACACACACCUUUGUCGAAGAGGAUAAAAGCGGGAGAGACGACCAAUCCUUACCGUUAUAUAAGUGGAUCAAUAUACAUAGAAGCUACAUGCCAUCAUGUUCAGUACAUAUUUUGGAAUUAAAAAAUGUUUGAUUAGAAUUUUGUUUUUCUGUGACAACGCAUGGGCAUGUAUGUGAUGACCUAGAAGUACUAUAUUUGUGUCUGCAAAAUUAUGGUUACCCAUAAAAUCGUAUGCUUAUUCAUUGCAGCCUGUACACAUUUUCUUAUUCUAUCCUUGC